rnacentral:rRNA from 1 species
CCUACGGGAGGCAGCAGUGAGGAAUAUUGGUCAAUGGACGAGAGUCUGAACCAGCCAAGUAGCGUGAAGGAUGACUGCCCUAUGGGUUGUAAACUUCUUUUAUAUGGGAAUAAAAUGUUCCACGUGUGGGAUUUUGUAUGUACCAUAUGAAUAAGGAUCGGCUAACUCCGUGCCAGCAGCCGCGGUAAUACGGAGGAUCCGAGCGUUAUCCGGAUUUAUUGGGUUUAAAGGGAGCGUAGGUGGAUUGUUAAGUCAGUUGUGAAAGUUUGCGGCUCAACCGUAAAAUUGCAGUUGAAACUGGCAGUCUUGAGUACAGUAGAGGUGGGCGGAAUGCGUGGUGUAGCGGUGAAAUGCUUAGAGAUCACGAAGAACUCCGAUUGCGAAGGCAGUUCACUGAACUGCAACUGACACUGAGGCUCGAAAGUGUGGGUAUCAAACAGGAUUAGAUACCCCGGUAGUC